AUGAGAGAGAAGAAGAAGAUUACAGUGAGAGAGCAUGCAGAGGAAGAGGAGAGCAUGGUUCCAGUACAAUACAACAAGAGGUUGUGGAAGGAAGGAAGUGAAGCAGUGCACAAUAGUAAAAUCCAGUGUAAGAAGAAGAUUUUGCAAAUGGAAAAGAAGUUUGAGUGUAAAGGGCUCGUGUUCUUGCCUCAAGAAAAGUACUGGGAAGAGAACCCUGGGAAAGCAGUUCCUCUCAUGAAACCAAAGUUUUAUGGCGGUCCGUGGAGGGUAAUGGGGGGUGAGAUUCCCCGAUAUGAGUGA